rnacentral:tRNA from 1 species
GGAAGAUGGCUCAGUUGGUAAAGAGCUUGCUCCAUAAGCAUGACGGCCUAAGUUCAAUUCCUAGCACCCA